CGGGUUUUUGUGCUUCAAAAACAUGUUAUCGUAUGUAUUAUCAAAACGAUAAAGCAUAGAACAAUAGAUUUCAUGAUUUCGCCGUUCCUUGUAUUAAAGUACUUUUGUAUCUUUAACAAUUUUGUAGCCUGUGCGAAAAAUCAGUGUAGCUCCUUUUUGUUAUAACUACUUUCUUCUAGGGGCAAUAAAGAAUUUCCUAGAAAAAUGAGAGUAGACAAGAAGAUUAAGAGAGAACUGCGCAAGAUUGGUUCGGCUGUUAAGAAAUCCAAGGUGCAGAUGAAAAAUGAUGGGAAGAAUAUCGCUGAGAUUAGCGCUAUGGUUACGGUGAUUUUAGUAGUCACUUUGUGCUGUUUUUUAAGGGAAUUGGCCCUCUAAAAUGUUGUAAAAUACGAAAUAUGUAGUAAAAUGUAAACAAAUUUGUGAAAGUAAAUAUUGUUGUCCCAUAGAAA